rnacentral:rRNA from 1 species
AUUGAACGCUGGCGGCAGGCCUAACACAUGCAAGUCGAACGAGUGGCGGACGGGUGAGUAAUGUCUGGGAAACUGCCUGAUGGAGGGGGAUAACUACUGGAAACGGUAGCUAAUACCGCAUACCAUCAGAUGUGCCUAGAUGGGAUUAGCUAGUGGGGGGGGUAACGGCUCACAUAGGCGACGAUCCCUAGCUGGACGGAGAGGAUGAUCAGCCACAGUGGAACUGAGACACGGUCCAGACUCCGACGGGAGGCAGCAGGGGGGAAUAUUGGACAAUGGGCGCAAGCCUGAUGCAGCCAUGCCGCGUGUGUGAAGAAGGCCUUCGGAUUGUAAAGUACUUUCAGCGGGGAGGCGUUACCCGCAGAAGAAGCACCGGCUAACUACGUGCCAGCAGCCGCGGUAAUGC